rnacentral:rRNA from 1 species
CCUGGCGGCAUUAGCGAGCGGGAACCACCCGAUCCCAUUCCGAACUCGGAAGUGAAAACGCUCCGCGCCGAUGAUAGUUUCGCUUGUUGCGAUGCGAGAGUAGGUCACUGCCAGGG